GUACUUGCUCUGGCAGCACAUAUACUAAAAUUGGAACAGUAUGGAGAAGAUUAACAUGGCCCCUGCGCAAGGAUGACACGUAAAUUCAUGAAGCGUUUCAUAUUUAA
rnacentral:snRNA from 1 species